GACGAACGCUGGCGGCGUGCUUAACACAUGCAAGUCGUACGGUAAGGCCCCUUCGGGGGUCCACGAGUGGCGAACGGGUGAGUAACACGUGAGUAACCUGCCCACAACUUUGGGAUAACGCUAGGAAACUGGUGCUAAUACUGGAUAUGUGCUCCUGCUGCAUGGUGGGGGUUGGAAAGCUCCGGCGGUUGUGGAUGGACUCGCGGCCUAUCAGCUUGUUGGUGGGGUAGUGGCCUACCAAGGCGGCGACGGGUAGCCGGCCUGAGAGGGUGACCGGCCACAUUGGGACUGAGAUACGGCCCAGACUCCUACGGGAGGCAGCAGUGGGGAAUAUUGCACAAUGGGCGCAAGCCUGAUGCAGCAACGCCGCGUGCGGGAUGACGGCCUUCGGGUUGUAAACCGCUUUCAGCAGGGACGAAGCUUUUUGUGACGGUACCUGCAGAAGAAGCACCGGCUAACUACGUG
rnacentral:rRNA from 1 species